rnacentral:rRNA from 1 species
GCGCAGCAGUCGCGAAUCUUCCACAAUGGGGAAACCCUGAUGGAGCGACGCCGCGUGCGGGAUGAAGGCCCUAUGGGUUGUAAACCGCUGUUCAGUGGAAAGAACAUCCUCCGGCUGAAUAGGUCGGAGGCCUGACGUUACCACUGCAGAAAGUCCCGGCCAACUCCGUGCCAGCAGCCGCGGUAAUACGGGGGGACGGAGCGUUGUCCGGAAUCAUUGGGCGGUAAAGGGCGGCGUAGGCGGCGAGGAAA